rnacentral:lncRNA from 1 species
GUCUUUUUAGGGCCACACCCACAGUAAAUAGAAGUUCCCAGGCUAGGGGUUUAAUCAGAGCUGUAGCCACUGGCCUAAACCAGAGCCACAGCAACGCCAAAUCCAAGCCCCAUCUGCGACCCACACCACAGCUCAUGGCAACGCCGGAUCCUCAACCCACUGAGAGAGACCAGGGAUUGAACCCGUAACCUUGUGGUUCCUAGUUGGAUUCGUUUUCACUACACCACGACAGGAACUCCUAGCCUUAUUUCUUUACUGAGGGAAGUAGGUCUAGGAAUAAUGUACCCAAACAGAGUGGGAUUAAGUUCCAGAUCAGUGGAGCAUCCCGUGGGAGACAGAGGCAAAAGUCUUGAGAAGAGGCGGCCCAGAGGAAGAGAUGAGUUGGGUUUUGAAGGAUGCAUAGGAGUUUUCUCAGAUGGUGGGAAGUAGCAAAAGGCCCUGCAUGUGCAAAGGCAGGGAGGCAAGAAAUAGCAUCCUUUGACUAUAGUAAAGAGUGCUUCAGGGCAGUAGAGACUAGAGAAAUAAGCAGACCCUCAUUUUGAUGAAUCUUGGAUGAAUCUAGGCUCAGGGUUUGGACUUAAUCCUAGAAGCCUUGAAAAGAUCUAAAUCGAGGGAGGUGGGCAGCCCCUUCCCACUCACUUCUCUUCUGAGCUUCCCCUCCCCCACCCCAGAGCCAGGGAGUGGGCCAGGUCGACAGGCCAUUAGAGGCAGCUGGUCCAGCUCAGCAGAGCGAGCAUGGAGCAGGAGGCUAACCUGAUUAGGAGGGACAGGAGGUUUGUCUGCGGGGAGGGAGGGAGGGUGACUACUCAGAGGGCCAAGGGAAGGGGGGGCACGCUGGGCCACUCUUGGGUCUCUUCAGCAAGGGGCCUGUCUUCCCCUACAAUGGAGCCCCGCCCUGCCCCCAACCCUGACUGCUGCGGGGAGGGGAGCAGCACUGCCUGAGAGGCCCCUCCCCUCCCCUCCGGCUGAAACCCCAGCUCCACCAUUGCCUUGUGCUGUGACCUUGAAGAGCCACUCCCAACUCUAGGCUACAUUCUUGUCCCCCAAACAAAGGCUGGCACUAGACUGGGGGAGAGGCAAUGGCUACUUCAGCCCACAGCCCCAUCCCAGAUGGAUAGUUUCGUGGUCAUGGGGUUAACUUUUAGGGAUUUGGGUAAGGAAGGCACUCCCAUUUGCCCCAGUCCCUCCAGCCUCACCCAAGCCCAACUCACAGGCGUGUGUGGCUGCUGACCUUCCCUUUCCAGUGACUGUCCUUGACUCAGGCUGCCUGGCUUGAAGUAGGGAAGAAUAAUUCCUGUCCACACAAGCCCUGGGGUCAGUACAAAGCUCAAACAAGCUGUGAUCCUGGCAGUGAUCUGAAGGGCAAAGCCCAGUGCAGUGGUCUGACUUUGACACUGGAGGCUGGGAAGGAUUUCACAAAGGGAAGUUUCACACUCUCCAGUGGGGACAGCUCCCUAACCUCUGAACCACCCCUUUAGAAAAGCAGGGACCAGGCAGCCCCCUCAAGGUCUGGAAACGGUGUCUGAGCUUUGCCUGAGCUCUUAUCUGCUGUCACUCAGGACCACGCUCUGAACUCGUAAGGGAAGACAAAGAUCACACCGCCCCGCUUCUCUGCUCUGUAAGUUGUGCUCCUGCCUUUGGCCAAAAUCAAUAACAUUCUCCACUAUGAUUGUUUCACCAGCACGAGGGACUGGGCCCCUGGUGAUGACAUUCCACUCCUGGCGGACACUGAAGGUCCUCCUUCAACACACAGCCUCUGACCCACUGCAGCACUCAUGAAAUGUGGGCUGGAGGUGGGGCUGGGGGUGGUGAUGCGGGGCAGCAUGGGCAGAGAGCAGGGGGGCUGCCCAGAGCUGCUCUAAGUGCCUCUCCAAAGACAAGCCCGGUGCUAUUCAUCAACUGGUUUUCAGGGCUGUGAGAAAUCAAUGGCAUUUGUGCUGCAAACUCAUCAUUAGGACAGGAAAAACUCUGCAAUGGAAUUGAUUUGUUUAAAUAUAAUAACACAAUUUAACAGAGAACCGUGGGGGUGGGGAAAGGACCCAGGCAAACACAACACAGGGACAGUGCAGAGGACCAGAGAGGAACCAGCUUUGAAAAAUCUUCCAAUGCAGCAGCCCCACCCAGGGCUGCCCCAGCUCCCCCAAACCCCACAUCAAGGAGGCCAGAGUGGUCACAAGCUAUGAUCCCGGGGGUGGGGGGGUGGCUUGGGCCCCAUCUCAGACAUCCCCUUUAUUAAAGAGAUGAUGCGCCCAGAGGCCUGGUUUGUCAUUGCCAUGCUACUCUUGGAGGUGACUUUGGCUCCAUCAACGUUCAAUGCAACAAACUUAGAUCAGGCACCUACUGUGUGCGAGGCAUCUGUGAGGGAUUGUAGCGGGAACAGGAUAAAUCCUGGGCCCAGCUCCAAAGGAUGGGGUGGAUAAGGCUGGGCUUGUGACAACAUGAGGCCAGGUAGGGCUGAACUUCCUGGGAUCUUAGGAAAUGUGGGAGAGAAGUACUGGGGGAAAAGGACAAAAGGACAAAAAGGGGGCAGCGAGGGGCAGGAGUGGAAGUUACAAAUAAUCAGGAGGAGCCCACUUAGGGGAGCGGGCUCUCAUCUCAUGGAUAUAGUACCCAUCAGCCCAGAAGAUGAUGUUGAUGAUGAAAGCUGGCUUUAUUGAUCUUUACAAUGUUCCAGCAUCCUGCAAACAUGUGUCAUUUCAAUAAAUCUCACCAACCUAUGAAGAAGGACUCCCAUUUCACAAAUGACACCACUGAGGCUCAGAGACUUAAGUGACUGCUUGUGGUCAUACAGCUACUAAGAGAUAGAGCUGGGGUUAGACCCCUGAGCCUGUGCACUAGCCACUGGACCUCCUGCCUCCUCUGGGGCUUGUCCUCCUGUGUGAACUGGGGAGAUAGAUGGCUCCUAGACUCCCCCAACCCCCGACACUGUGCUGGCCAGAAGAGGCUUAGCCCUCCUCCAAGUGGGGACAGCAGACUCAAGUCCUCGGGGAAGGACCAGCGGCUCUGGGCAGCCUCACUGAGCUCAAGAAGGGCCUUAAUCUCAGCCCUGGAAUUUGGACUUUAUUCCUGGUGUCAGCGGGAAGCCAGGGAGGGCAGACUAAGAAGGGCUCAGUAAUUGAGAGGUAGGGAGACCGUAAGACCUGAUUGCCAGCAGAGGGUAGGAGUGCUGAAGGGGACACAGGUCCAGAGAUGACUCCGGGGGUUGAACUGACUGUGGGGGAGAGGGAGAGGGAGGUGUUAAGGACAACCCAGCGUCUCCCCCAGCCCUCUGGGGGCUUGGAUGCUCAGCUUCGCUGAACCAGCGGCUGCCCGAGUCAAUAUGAAUUGACCAGGACCCCAAGGAGCACUGGGCCCCUCCCCCCAGGAAGCCUUGACCAGGGCGGGGGGUGGGGGGAGAGGUUGCUGCUGGCCGACAGGCCGCCACCAACUCCGCUCUGUCCCACCGCUGACCUUUCUCCUUUGUCAGCAGUGCUCUCCAUCAAUGCCCCGGAAGGGCCAGUGCAAUCUCUCCCGGCUGCCUGGGGCCAGGGCUGGGGGCAGGGGCUCACUCC